rnacentral:rRNA from 1 species
CAUGCAAGUCGAGGGGCAGCGGAGUUCAAGCUUGCUUGACUGCCGGCGACCGCUGAGGGGUAAGUAACACGUAUGCAACCUGCCCUGUGCAGGGGAAUAACCCGGAGAAAUCCGGACUAAUACCGCAUAAUGCCCUGUGGGGACAUCCUCAUGGGGCCAAAGGAGGCAACUCCGGCACAGGAUGGGCAUGCGGCGCAUUAGCUAGUCGGCGGGGUAACGGCCCACCGAGGCGACGAUGCGUAGGGGUUCUGAGAGGAAGGUCCCCCACACUGGUACUGAGACACGGACCAGACUCCUACGGGAGGCAGCAGUGAGGAAUAUUGGUCAAUGGGCGCGAGCCUGAACCAGCCAAGUCGCGUGAGGGAAGACGGUCCUAUGGAUUGUAAACCUCUUUAGGCGGGGAGCAACGGCCGGCACGUGUGCCGGAGAGGAGAGUACCCGCAGAAUAAGCAUCGGCUAACUCCGUGCCAGCAGCCGCGGUAAUACGGAGGAUGCGAGCGUUAUCCGGAUUUAUUGGGUUUAAAGGGUGCGCAGGCGGAAGAUUAAGUCAGCGGUAAAAUUGCGGUGCUCAACGCCGUAAAGCCGUUGAAACUGAUUUUCUUGAGUGGGCGAGAAGUAUGCGGAAUGCGUGGUGUAGCGGUGAAAUGCAUAGAUAUCACGCAGAACUCCGAUUGCGAAGGCAGCAUACCGGCGCCCAACUGACGCUCAGGCACGAAAGCGUGGGGAUCGAACAGGAUUAGAUACCCUGGUAGUCCACGCAGUAAACGAUGAAUGCUAGCUGUUCGGCCUUUAGGGGCUGAGUGGCACAGCGAAAGCGUUAAGCAUUCCACCUGGGGAGUACGCCGGCAACGGUGAAACUCAAAGGAAUUGACGGGGGCCCGCACAAGCGGAGGAACAUGUGGUUUAAUUCGAUGAUACGCGAGGAACCUUACCCGGGCUCAAACGUCGGAGGACGGAAUGUGAAAGCAUUCUUUCCCUCGGGACUUCCGACGAGUGCUGCAUGGUGUCGUCAGCUCGUGCCGUGAGUGUCGGCUAAGUGCCAUAACGAGCGCAACCCCCAUC